UGGGGGAUAUUGCACAAUGGGCAAAAGCCUGAUGCAGCGACGCCGCGUGGGGGAUGAAGGCCUUCGGGUUGUAAACUUCUUUUGCUCUGAACAAGGCAUGCCUUUGGGGUGUGUUGAGUGUAGGGGUUGAUUAGCGCCGGCUAACUACGUGCCAGCAGCCGCGGUAAUACGUAGGGCGCGAGCGUUGUCCGGAAUUAUUGGGCGUAAAGGGCUUGUAGGUGGCUGGUUGCGUCUGUCGUGAAAGCUCAUGGCUUAACUGUGGGGUUGCGGUGGGUACGGGGUGGCUUGAGUGCAGUAGGGGAGGCUGGAAUUCCUGGUGUAGCGGUGGAAUGCGCAGAUAUCAGGAGGAAUACCGGUGGCGAAGGCGGGUCUCUGGGCUGUUACUGACGCUGAGGAACGAAAGCGUGGGUAGCAAACAGGA
rnacentral:rRNA from 1 species